rnacentral:guide_RNA from 1 species
AUGUUAAUAUAACACCAUAUAAAUUAGAAUGGUAGAGAUGUGAUAUAGUG